rnacentral:snRNA from 1 species
GAAACUCAAAACAUCAUAACCUG